UCAAGUCCCUCUAUCCCCAA
rnacentral:tRNA from 1 species